rnacentral:rRNA from 1 species
GAUGAACGCUGGCGGCGUGCCUAAUACAUGCAAGUCGAGCGAACGGACGAGAAGCUUGCUUCUCUGAUGUUAGCGGCGGACAGGUGAGUAACACGUGGAUAACCUACCUAUAAGACUGGGAUAACUUCGGGAAACCGGAGCUAAUACCGGAUGAUAUUUUGAACCGCAUGGUUCAAAAGUGAAAGACGGUCUUGCUGUCACUUAUAGAUGGAUCCGCGCUGCAUUAGCUAGUUGGUAAGGUAACGGCUUACCAAGGCAACGAUGCAUAGCCGACCUGAGAGGGUGAUCGGCCACACUGGAACUGAGACACGGUCCAGACUCCUACGGGAGGCAGCAGUAGGGAAUCUUCCGCAAUGGGCGAAAGCCUGACGGAACAACGCCGCGUGAGUGAUGAAGGUCUUCGGAUCGUAAAACUCUGUUAUUAGGGAAGAACAUAUGUGUAAGUAACUGUGCACAUCUUGACGGUACCUAAUCAGAAAGCCACGGCUAACUACGUG